rnacentral:tRNA from 1 species
GGGGCGGUGGCCGAGCGGUCGAAGGCGCACGAUUGGAAAUCGUGUAUACGUUAAUAGCGUAUCGAGGGUUCAAAUCCCUCCCGCCCCGCCA